rnacentral:rRNA from 1 species
UACGGAGGGUGCGAGCGUUGUCCGGAAUCAUUGGGCGUAAAGGGCGCGUAGGUGGCCCGGUCAGUUCGUGGUGAAAGCGCGGGGCUCAACCCUGCGUCGGCCAUGAAUACUGCCGCGGCUGGAGCACUGUAGAGGCAGGCGGAAUUCCGGGUGUAGCGGUGAAAUGCGUAGAUAUCAAGAGGAACACCUGCGGCGAAGGCGGGUUGCUGGGCCGACACUGACGCUGAAGCGCGAAAGCCAGGGGAGCGAACGGG